rnacentral:lncRNA from 1 species
AUGCUGCUGCUGAGAGGACGGCGGGACAGCAGGCGGGGUCCUCCGGCUUCACAGGACAAAUAUCUGCCCCCCUCUGAGGACACAAAGGUCGGAACCGAGCUGAAAAACGAGCAGAGACGGAAGAGAAGCUCGACGUCUGCCCCUCGGACAGCUCCCCAAACUUUCGCUUUCACUUACACACGCCGGGGGCGGGGCUUAACAUACAGUUUCACAGAAGGUAAACCUGUUUGCUCCUGCUGUAACCCACGGAGACGGGACGCCGAUCACCGGGUCACAGAGGAAGAGUCUUUGCAUUAUUCCAGCCUGAAGCAUCCAGACAAGCCCCGCCCCACCACCAGGAGAGGAACCGGAUUGGCUGAAGAGAAGGUCCUGUACUCAACAGUGAACACGUGCAAGAACUCAAAGGCAUCACAUCACCACAGAUAG